rnacentral:rRNA from 1 species
AGUGAACGCUGGCGGUAGGCCUAACACAUGCAAGUCGAACGGCAGCACAGUAAGAGCUUGCUCUUACGGGUGGCGAGUGGCGGACGGGUGAGGAAUACAUCGGAAUCUACUUUUUCGUGGGGGAUAACGUAGGGAAACUUACGCUAAUACCACAUACGACCUACGGGUGGAAGCAGGGGAUCUUCGGACCUUGCGCGAUUGAAUGAGCCGAUGUCGGAUUAGCUAGUUGGCGGGGUAAAGGCCCACCAAGGCGACGAUCCGUAGCUGGUCUGAGAGGAUGAUCAGCCACACUGGAACUGAGACACGGUCCAGACUCCUACGGGAGGCAGCAGUGGGGAAUAUUGGACAAUGGGCGCAAGCCUGAUCCAGCCAUACCGCGUGGGUGAAGAAGGCCUUCGGGUUGUAAAGCCCUUUUGUUGGGAAAGAAAAGCAGCAGGUUAAUACCCCGCUGUUCUGACGGUACCCAAAGAAUAAGCACCGGCUAACUUCGUG